rnacentral:rRNA from 1 species
UACGAAGGGGGCUAGCGUUGCUCGGAUUGACUGGGCGUAAAGGGCGCGUAGGCGGUUCGUACAGUCAGACGUGAAAUUCCUGGGCUCAACCUGGGGGCUGCGUUUGAUACGUGCGGACUUGAGUGCGGAAGAGGGUCGUGGAAUUCCCAGUGUAGAGGUGAAAUUCGUAGAUAUUGGGAAGAACACCGGUGGCGAAGGCGGCGGCCUGGUCCGAUACUGACGCUGAGGCGCGAAAGCGUGGGGAGCAAACAGG